UACGGAGGGUGCGAGCGUUGUCCGGAAUCACUGGGCGUAAAGGGCGCGUAGGUGGCCUGUGGAAGUCUGCGGUGAAAGCCCGGCGCUCAACGCCGGGUCGGCCGUGGAUACUCUCGGGCUCGAGCUUACUAGAGGCAGAUGGAAUUCCGGGUGUAGCGGUGGAAUGCGUAGAGAUCCGGAAGAACACCGGUGGCGAAGGCGGUCUGCUGGGGUAAUGCUGGACACUGAUGCGCGGACAGCGUGGGGAGCAAACAGG
rnacentral:rRNA from 1 species